AUUACACUGCCUUUCGCUGGUCUCCGAUUGUCACAACAAACGGAUCUAACAGGGAAUCUGGUGCAAUUCCAGAACUGACGCGCAGCGGUAAUAGAGAACAAGCGUUCAUUCGCACACUGUCUUAUGGAAAUUAGGCGGGAAGUGGAACGUAAGGUGGGUGAUUCACCCGUGCUCUUAAGUCCGAAUACCAACCAGUGAACGGGGAUGGAU
rnacentral:ncRNA from 2 species